AGGCGUGUGUGCACACGUGUGUGAUCAUGUGCAUUAUGCACGCAUCCAUUCAUAUGAAUGCUCAAGUGUACUUGUCUAGAGGCAAGAGGUCAGCCCUGUUUACCAUCCUUCUGCUGCUAUCUACCUUUUUUGAGACAGGAUCUCUCACUGGCCUGGAGUUUCCCAAAGUAGGCUAGGCUGGCUGGCCAGUGAGCCCCCGGGGAUGUCUGUCACCUCUUUUCCCAAAUUGGUAUUACAGGUACAGUAACCAACCCUGUUGGUGGUGGUCUGGUUUUUUUUGUUUGUUUGAUUGUUUUUUAUCAGAUUUAUUGAGUUUUUAUUUCAUGAGUGCAAGCGUUUUGCCUGUAUGUAUACGUGUGUGUACCACAUGUGUACCUGGUGCACAGAGGUCACAGAGGGCAUCAGAUCCCCUGGAACUGGAGUUACAGAUGGUUAUAAACCACCCUGUGUUUUCUGAGAAUUGAACCUGGGUCCUCUGGAAGAGCAGUGAGUGCUCUUAACCACUGAGCCACCUCUCCAGCCCGUUGUUUUAUUUCUUGACGUGGAUCCUGAGGGUCCUCACCUUGAGUGGCAAACACUCUGCUGACUGGUCGUCUCCCCAGUCACAGCUCUACCGAUUGCACUGUCUCAUCAGCUCCCAGCCUACUUUUUCCAAGCUCUGUGACUUCAGUUAGGCUGCUUUACUUCCUGUGCUUUGGUUUCCCCUUUGUGAAACGGAAGAAACCCCAACAUCUGACUACAAACAGCUGUGACUAUACCCAGAGCCAACCAGGACUGCCCCAAGCUUAGGGACUAUACCACACCAGGAAGCCCACUAAGGUGAGAGAUGACCCCAUCUCUCUCACAGCUAUAACCCCCCAUCACUGAAUAUCAUGUCCAGCACACAGUAGGUGCACAGCUGUAGCAACGAACUUUAUACCCAACGCAUAAUAGGUGCAGGUGCAUACAAGUUGAGGUUUUGCUCUUGGUGUAAUGGAUUUGACUCAGGUUUCCCAGGAAGAACAACUAACCCACACAAUGAAGGCAUUUAAAACCAAAAAAAGUAAGGAAUUUGAUACAGUAACUCAGAGACUUUGCUGAGCCUUUUAAGAGGUUACAGGUCUGGGCCUGGAGUGGUAAAAAGAAGGAACAUGAGGUGUCCUACCAGGAAAAACAGAGAAACAACAGGUCCCAUGCCUGGUGACCAACCAACCACGUGAGGAAGGAUGUGGAGGCCUGAGAUGCUAUCAGGAAGCAGUGUGGCGUCGGGUAGAGCUAAGGAACAAGUCAGGUGGGAGCGAGCACUCAGGGGAAGAUGGGAGGUGGGAGGGACAGUCGAGGCAAGACCUGAGAGGUGGACUGGAGGGGCCAUGCUGGGUACAUGGGGGAUGAUGGCUGAGCACAGAGGUUCAAGGCUAGGCACCAAAGUGAGUCGCUGGUCUACCCAGUCACUUAAUCUCUGAUUCUACUUCCUACAGAAGGAAGCUGGAUUACCCCCGAAACCCAGUAAGACAAAAUCUACACGGCUUUGUUCAGUGGCUGGGGCCAUAACUCACUCAGUUAAGGUUGCCUCGGAGGCACAAGUCCUGAGCUAAAUCCCCAGCACCCAUGUAAAAACACCAGGCAUGCAUGGUAGCCCAAGUUCACCAAGCGACUGGGGCAGGUGAGCAGCUCACCAACCUGUCUCCACCUCUUCCUGGGCUCACAGCUAGACUUUCUCCCAGGGUCCCUUUCAGGCCACGUGACUAUCUCUGACCAAUAGAAUGUAAGAUAAUCUAAUUUCGUGCUUCCCAGCCUAGCCAAUAGCAUCCUUCCAUGGGUAUCCUGGGCUCUGUUUUCUCCCUUUACCAGCUAAAGAGAAUGUGGCCUUAGAAGCCAUAUGCUAAAAAUAGCAGAGCCACAAGGUAGAUGGAUUCUAGCCCCUGAAUUCUCACGAACAUGAGCAAGAAGUAAAUAGAAAGAAUCCUUUAUCUGUACAAGCAAGGGGACGGAAAGGAUGAAGUUGGAGUGGCCCUGCCCCUCCCUUCCACUCUUCUUCUAGUGCUCUGGCAGACCUCGGCCAUGAGAUGAACUGCCCAAAAGACAGGGUGAAAGGACAGCUGCUGUCUUCAGAUAAGAUUCUGGUGCACACCAUUCGUCUGAAUAGCCACCUCUUUUCCACAAGAAUGCCGAAUCGACAACUGUGAGCUGGCAUGACUGCUCCAGACUAAGGAAGGGAAGUGGAAGUCGGACCCAGCUUUGGAAGCCCAGCACGGCCAAAGGCAACAGGACACGUGGAGCAAAAGGAAGCCCAAAGCUGAAGCUGGCUGGUUUCACCUACUCCCCUGCCUCAGUGUCGGGGAGGGAGGAGGAAGAUAAAAUGCCUUUAGCCUCUACUCACUGAGCACCCACAGGACUCCAUGGAUAUGCAGAGAAGCCCAGAGCACCCUCCUAUCAUCCUGCCACAACCCCAGGAGGCAGGACCACUGUUGCCCCAUUCUACAGAUAAGGAAAGUGAGAUGAGAGAGGCAGAUAGAAACCUAGUUCCUCAGUGAGCUUGGCUUAUGGGGCCUCCGGCUCUGCCAGACUAAGGCAUGGCCAGGCAGCCAUCAUCUGCCUAUGACAACAAGGUAAACUUGGCACCCACUGACCCUAAGGGCUAGGAGGCUGUCUCUAGCUGAUGAGAGGGUUGAGGUAGGGCAAGCGAACUUGAGGCUUGCCUGUGUCUGAUGUUUUGUGGGUUUAUACUGCUUUCCUCCUCCAUGAAAGACGUAGUGUGGCUAACAAGAGGCUCUCCCGAGAGGAGGAGGAGAGAUAAACGCUCUCAGUAUGGAGCCAGAAAGUGUGGUCCCCCCCCCCCCACACACACACCUUAUACUGUGAUAGGUCCUGUCCUGGGCUUGUCACAUGGCUGGACAUCUCUGGGUCCUCUCGCCAGCCCACUUCUCUCCUGACCUCUAAGUUAUGAAGGACACGGGGAAGGGGAACUUAUAGAGAGAGCCACGUACCACAUGUAGGACCAGAGCCCAAUCCCUCAACCCUGACUGUGACCUUGAAGUCUCAGGGUCUCCCCAUACAGCAGCCAUGGCACAGUUGUCUACACCCCUAAUUCCAGCAUUCUGGCAUCUGGACCCUUCCAUGCAGGCCCCUGCUUCCCCUGAGCUCAGCUGUGGUGCCAGGGCCAGGCCAAGCCUCCCAGGGACACCUGGACAUGUGCAGGGAAGGAUGCUUCCCUCCUGAAGGUGUAGGCAGCCGGCCUGUCCAUUCUCUGCCUUUUCUAGGCAGGCUAAAAGAUAAGGUACAGAGAGCCCGGUGGAGGUGGAGAGGCAAAGACCCUCUUUCCACCACACAGGCCCCUGGCCUUUGUCCAUUAGAUCCAUUUAUGUCCCCAGACACCAACUGAAACUUCACAUGUGCAUCUCCCAUCUGCUCUCCACCUCAGUCCUCUGGGCUCCGACCUAGCCCAUCACACACCCUGGCUGGGCCCCAUCCCUUCCCAGGCCUCAGUUUCUCCAUUGUGAACCCGGCACACUGGGCUUCAUUCUCCCCGAAGAGCCUCCCAUUUGACUGGAGUUUUCUGAGGACAGAUUCGAACUGGAUGUUUCCCUGGGUUCUCUGCUCACCAAGCUUGGAAGGUCUCCCUAACAUGCUACCUCCGAUCUCUCUGCCGCGAAGCCACAGCUGCCUCAUGUAUAUUUCAAGAAUCCCACCCUGACAACUCAGGAAAUUCCAUCUACCACGGUCUUCAGACUCUGGGCGGCAGAGGGAUUUUGUCCAUCUGGUGACUCACAGAGGAAAGGCUCGGGGAAUGGCAAGACUCUGAACUGGAGCCUUUCUGCCGUUUCAACCCAUUUCUGGGGAGGUUAGCGCACCUCCUGACAGAAAUGUCAGGAGACAAGCCACAGGGAGGACACCACACAGCUAUCUGUGGCAUGUCGAGAGUAAUCCCUGAGGGCACGACACAUGUGCUUAUGUCCUCAAAUAAUUGACAAAGAAAAAAGAGGUGAA